rnacentral:rRNA from 1 species
UAGUCAUAUGCUUGUCUCAAAGAUUAAGCCAUGCAUGUCUAAGCACAAGCCGAUUAAUGGUGAAGCCGCGAAUGGCUCAUUACAACAGCCAUAGUUUCUUAGAUCUUACUUUUCUACUUGGAUAACUGUGGUAAUUCUAGAGCUAAUACACGCAAACAAGCUCAGACCUUACGGAAUGAGCGCAUUUAUUAGAACAAAAACCAAUCGGAUCUCGGUCCGUCAUUUGGUGAAUCUGAAUAACUUUGCUGAUCGCACGGUCAUCGUACCGGCGACAUAUCUUUCAAAUGUCUGCCUUAUCAACUUUCGAUGGUAGUUUAUGCGCCUACCAUGGUUGUAACGGGUAACGGAGAAUAAGGGUUCGACUCCGGAGAGGGAGCCUGAGAAACGGCUACCACAUCCAAGGAAGGCAGCAGGCACGCAAAUUACCCACUCCCGGCACGGGGAGGUAGUGACGAAAAAUAACGAGACGGCUCGCUAUGCGGUCCGUCAUCGGAAUGGGUACAAUUUAAAUCCCUUAACGAGUAACGAUU